AGGGUUUGAUCAUGGCUCAGAACGAACGCUGGCGGCAUGCCUAACACAUGCAAGUCGAACGAAGUCUUCGGACUUAGUGGCGCACGGGUGCGUAACGCGUGGGAAUCUGCCCUUGGGUACGGAAUAACUCAGAGAAAUUUGUGCUAAUACCGUAUAAUGUCUUCGGACCAAAGAUUUAUCGCCCAAGGAUGAGCCCGCGUAAGAUUAGCUAGUUGGUGGGGUAAAAGCCUACCAAGGCGACGAUCUUUAGCUGGUCUGAGAGGAUGAUCAGCCACACUGGGACUGAGACACGGCCCAGACUCCUACGGGAGGCAGCAGUGGGGAAUAUUGGACAAUGGGCGAAAGCCUGAUCCAGCAAUGCCGCGUGAGUGAUGAAGGCCUUAGGGUUGUAAAGCUCUUUUACCCGGGAUGAUAAUGACAGUACCGGGAGAAUAAGCUCCGGCUAACUCCGUGCCAGCAGCCGCGGUAAUACG
rnacentral:rRNA from 1 species